CAAAUGAAUUGACGGGGCCCGCACAAGCGGAGGAACAUGUGGUUUAAUUCGAUGAUACGCGAGGAACCUUACCUGGGCUUAAAUGUAGAGUGCAUUUUUAGAGAUAGAAAUUCCCUUCGGGGCUUUCUGCAAGGUGCUGCAUGGUUGUCGUCAGCUCGUGCCGUGAGGUGUCGGGUUAAGUCCCAUAACGAGCGCAACCCUUAUCGUUAGUUGCCAGCGGGUAAAGCCGGGGACUCUAGCGAAACUGCCGGUGUAAACCGAGAGGAAGGUGGGAUGACGUCAAAUCAGCACGGCCCUUAUGUCCAGGGCUACACACGUGUUACAAUGGCCGGUACAGAGGGCAGCUACCUGUUGACAGGAUGCGAAUCUCGAAAGCCGGUCUCAGUUCGGAUCGGAGUCUGCAACCCGACUCCGUGAAGCUGGAUUCGCUAGUAAUCGCGCAUCAGCCAUGGCGCGGUGAAUACGUUCCCGGGCCUU
rnacentral:rRNA from 1 species